rnacentral:rRNA from 1 species
CCUACGGGAGGCAGCAGUGAGGAAUAUUGGUCAAUGGACGAGAGUCUGAACCAGCCAAGUAGCGUGAAGGAUGACUGCCCUAUGGGUUGUAAACUUCUUUUAUAUGGGAAUAAUAUGUUCCACGUGUGGGAUUUUGUAUGUCCCAUAUGAAUAAGGAUCGGCUAACUCCGUGCCAGCAGCCGCGGUAAUACGGAGGAUCCGAGCGUUAUCCGGAUUUAUUGGGUUUAACGGGAGCGUAGGUGGAUUGUUAAGUCAGUUAUGAAAGUUUGCGGCUCAACCGUAAAAUUGCAGUUGAAACUGGCAGUCUUGAGUACAGUAGAGGUGGGCGGAAUGCGUGGUGUAGCGGUGAAAGGCUUAGAUAUCACGAAGAACUCCGAUUGCGAAGGCAGCUCACUGGACUGCAACUGACACUGAGGCUCGAAAGUGUGGGUAUCAAACAGGAGUAGAUACCCCAGUAGUC